GGAAUAUUGCGCAAUGGGGGAAACCCUGACGCAGCGACGCCGCGUGGGUGAGGAAGGCUUUCGGGUCGUAAAGCUCUGUCAGAAGGGAAGAAAUGCUUAUGGGUUAAUACCUUGUAAGUUUGACGGUACCUUCAAAGGAAGCACCGGCUAACUCCGUGCCAGCAGCCGCGGUAAUACGGAGGGUGCAAGCGUUGUUCGGAAUCACUGGGCGUAAAGGGCGCGUAGGCGGCUUGGCAAGUCAGAUGUGAAAGCCCACGGCUUAACCGUGGAAGUGCAUUUGAAACUGCUUGGCUUGAGUAUCAGAGGGGAAAGUGGAAUUCCCGGUGUAGAGGUGAAAUUCGUAGAUAUCGGGAGGAAUACCGGUGGCGAAGGCGACUUUCUGGCUGAAUACUGACGCUGAGGCGCGAAAGCGUGGGGAGCAAACAGGAUUA
rnacentral:rRNA from 1 species